CAGACCCGAGGCGCACUGCUCAGUAACACGUGGAGAAUCUGCCCUUAGGUGAGGAAUAACCUCGGGAAACUGAGAAUAAUACCUCAUAGGUUAUGGAUGCUGGAAUGCUUCAUAGCCAAAAGCCCCGGCGCCUAAGGAUGACUCUGCGGACUAUCAGGUAGUAGUCAGGGUAACGACCUGACUAGCCUACGACGGAUACGGGGUGUGAGAGCACUAGCCCGGAGAUGGAUUCUGAGACACGAAUCCAGGCCCUACGGGGUGCAGCAGGCGCGAAACUUCCGCAAUGCUCGCCAGAGUGACGGAGGGAUUCCAAGUGCCUAUGCUAUGCGUAGGCUGUUUUUAUGUCUAAAUAACAUGGAGAGUAAGAGCUGGGUAAGACGGGUGCCAGCCGCCGCGGUAA
rnacentral:rRNA from 1 species